rnacentral:misc_RNA from 1 species
CCGAGCUCAUGCCCUUACGGGUAGAUCUCCCACCCUAUGUUAUUGUUACCUUUGUUGCUUUGGCGGGCCGUCAGGCUUCGGUCAGGCUAUCGGCUCCGGCUGGUAAGCGCCCGCCAGAGGACCCCAAACUCUGAGUAUUAGUGUCGUCUGAGUACUAUAUAAUAGUUA